rnacentral:rRNA from 1 species
CACGUAGGGUGCAAGCGUUGUCCGGAAUUAUUGGGCGUAAAGAGCUCGUAGGCGGCCUGUCACGUCGACUGUGAAAACCUAGGGCUCAACCCUGGGCCUGCAGUCGAUACGGGCAGGCUUGAGUGUGGUAGGGGAGACUGGGAUUCCUGGUGUAGCGGUGAAAUGCGCAGAUAUCAGGAGGAACACCGGUGGCUAAGGCGGGUCUCUGGGCCAUUACUGACGCUGAGGAGCGAAAGCGUGGGGAGCGAACAGG